AUAUUAUAUAUAUAUAUAUAUAUACACACACACACAGUUUUUUAAUUGAUUUAUUUACUAACAUCAAAAUAUAAUAUAUAUUUUUUAUUAUUUAAUAUUUAUCAAUAUUAAAAUUGAGAGUAUUCAUAAUUAAAUAUUCCCUAACAUCAAAAACAAAAAUAUUAUAAGCCGACUAUUAUAUCAUAAAUCAAUAAUUUUUUAUUAAUUUAAAACAAAAACAAUAAUAUAACUCAUCUUAAUUAAAACAUUUAAAAAAUAAUAAUAUUUUUCUGAUUGUUGUUUCGAUUGUCAACUGGGAGGUGCUCGUCAAUUAAUUGUCCCAAAGCCUUGCCCUAGCUUCAAUUCAAUUUGUUCUUUCAGAGCUUUGGCUUCCUGCUAUUGAGAGGGUGGUUGGCUGGGUUCCUUGUUGGUGACAUUAGCUUUCACCAGAAACCUCAUCUUCCCACAGGUCUGCACAUUCUUUUUUCCCUGCUUUCCCCCCUGGCUUCUUUGAUGUUUUCCUUUCGAUGGUGCUCAAUUUCUCUUGGUUGCUUCUUUAAAUCAUGUAUGUCUUGCAAGAACUUGGACUGCCUCUUUUGCUUUCCCGAUGAAGAUUUCUGGGACUGCUAUUCUGGUUGACUGUGUGUGGAGGUGCCCUUGGAUUUGUUUUCUUUGUUGUUUUCUAGAGUUGUGUCUGGGUUCAAUGAGAAUUGUUUUGGUUGAUUGUCUAGGUAGCUUUCACACUAGGUGUUUGAUCGAAUUUUUGAGAGAAAUGGGCCUUUGUGUUUUCAGGCGUGCACUGCUCACACGCUUUGCUAGCCUUUUUGACAUCCAUAGUUAAAAUGCUCACAUUGCUUUUUGAGGACUAGCACAUAAGGCGCAUCCAAUAACCUGAUAAUUUUGAUGAGUAUGUGCAGCAAAUUGAGGACAUGGAGGAACAAGUUACUGAAUUUGAAGCUGUUAUUUCAGUUCUUGACAGGUAUGUUUCUCAAUGAAUACAUGCCAAAGACUUGGUCUUGCCGUCUGGAAGUGAACGAAAAGAAAUACCCUUAGCACUUGGAGAUGGUCAAUGAAUAUAUUUGGCUCUUCGAAAUGAUUUUUUACUAUUAAAAUGCACAGAAGAAAAAAAAACCGUAUUCACACUACGGAAAAGCUAUUUUUAUCGAUUUGGCUCUUCAAAAUAGCAUCUUCCCUGGAGAUGUUCUAAUACUAUUUUUUUUUGUUGAGAUGCUAAAAUUUGAUGCAUGAAAAUUGAUUUAAAAAGUACAAUCGAACUGCAAAAUGAGAAAAAAAUUGCUUAUCAUCUCUGUUGCAGCCAUGAUGGUUGCCUUAAUUUUGCGCUGCUUUGAGAAUUGUGAUGGAUGGAAGAUUGGGAGCUGUCAUUCCUGUUUCCUUGCUUGCUGGAAUUCCUGCAACCCUUUUUAUAUUGCUGCAAUUUCCUCUCCUUGUUGAGAUUUUCAUAUCCACAUAUGGACCAGGUAUCUUCAACAGGAAAAUGAAGCUUUGGUACUGAACAUAUUUGUUUUUCAAUGCAGGGGACGUUCUCUCCGUUUCGUGUACUUGAGCCAAAAUUCUUGAACGAUCAGCUAGAAUUUAACUUUAUGGACCUCAUGUGAUCGCUCUUCAUAUGGUUUUGCUCACGAAAAGUAUUAUUACUUUGUGAUUCUUCCUUUUUAAUGCAUCUUAAACUCAAGGAAACGUAACUCAUAUGAGAAAUAUUCCUUGAUUGACAA